CAAUAGCGUAUAUUAAAGUUGUUGCGGUAAAAAAGCUCGUAGUUGGAUUUCUACCGAAGAUAGCCGGUCGGGUCUUCGACCUUGUAUCUGGUUUUGUCUUUGGUAUCCUCAUAGGGAACGUUUCUGCGCUUUAUUGCGUGGUGCGGUAUCUAUGACUGUUACUUUGAGGAAAUUAGAGUGUUCACGGCAGGCAAACGCCUUGAAUAUAUUAGCAUGGAAUAAUAACAUAGGAUCUUCGUCCUAUUUUGUUGGUUUCUAGGGCUAAGAUAAUGAUUAAUAGGGAUAAUUGGGGGCAUCUGUAUCAACGCGUCAGAGGUGGAAUUCUUGGAUUGCGUUGCGACAAACUACUGCGAAAGCAUUUGCCAAGGAUGUUUUCAUUGA
rnacentral:rRNA from 1 species